rnacentral:piRNA from 1 species
UUUUUAACUUAUGCACUCAAA